AUUGUCGUUAGAAUUUAGAACGUGAGAGCACAGCAUUCACCUGGAAGUCGCUAAUUCUGGAGGUGAGGGGAGGAUAUGGAAGUCUCUGGCUGCUGGCUGCUAGACACAGAAAACGGUCAACGUGCCAACAGUCGCUCCGCCAGCGCCGCUGCCAGGAUUAGACAACUCUGUGUCUCGCUCACUUACUCGCUCUCGUCCCUGCUCUCUCGUUCCCACGGCGCGUGAAGCUCAGAGUUGCUUUCCCCACCACCACCACCACUACCACCACCGCCACCACCAGUUGCACCGCAGCCGUCGUCGUCCACAGUUUGCGCGCGCCGCCGUCGUCGCGCCGUGAGAUCGGACUGCAGUGGUAGUCGCGGCCACGGUGGAGAUGCGCUCGCCUCGGUGGUGUGGGAGAUAUUCGCUGGGAGAGGUGAUCCGUUAGUGGAAUGUGUGUGACUCGGUGUGUGUGUGUGAUUGCAGCAGCUGUGACGACUUCUCACUGAGCAUCUGUGGGUCCAUCCCAAGUCUUCCUCCUCGUCUACAGCUCGACUGUUUCCGUCAGGUUGUUCGCCUUCUGUGACUCCGACCUUUGAGCAAGCUGAGAGUAAAAAACUUGGAGGAGAUUAAACAGGUGUCGCUGACAGCCGGCAAGCAACUUGGCAACAAGUGGGCCAAGAGAUGCCAGAUUUGAAGAAGAACCAUCUUGAGGAUCUCCUGGCCCAAGCUAAUCUCAUUCACUUCUAAGCCCCACUUUUUCCAAAACCCAAGACCUGCCUCACUCCUUCACUGCUGCAGCGUCCGCCAUCUUGCAGCUGCAAGGGGGAGAUAAAAAAAAAUGGACGUCUGUCGUUAACAUCGCAGCAACCUGCGUCAUCGGCGAUGGGCAGCAAACGACUUGUUUGUCAAGGGCCAUAAAUCCCUAAGUUUCCUGUGUCACCGGAAGCGAGCUAUCGAUCACGUAUUGAUGCAAUGACCAGACCAGCAUCAACAAUCAGCUCUUCGAUUUUCUUCGCCCUCGCAGAGCGAGACUAGAUGGCGCUGCUGCUGUCUCCACUGGGGCUUCUGUAGUACUCUGCCUGAAAGAUCAAUCUUAACGGAAUUAUAAACGGUGAAGUCGAUCAGCGCAAGAUAUCCUUUCGUCAUCCAAAAUCAAAGAAAGUAAUUUAAAGUUUGAUGGACGUAUGUCCUGUGUAACAGACUCGUCUGAUGUUUCUAACGCAGUCGAGGACACAAUUAUCUCGGGAGGCAAUCACGUGGCAUACAGAUGGGCCCAAGAAUCUCGUGUUCCCUCUCUGCAGCCGGCGGUUUUAAAAAGCAUCACGUGUUCCCCGGGUCUCUGUCGGCCUUGUCGCGGCUUCAGAAUGAGAGCAGUGGAGGGACCCCCGCUUGCCGUCCUCCCAGCCAACUUUGAAGCGAUGACAGGAUCUUCGUGGACGACCUGCUGGAGGGUGUGAUUUCUGUGUCUUGCGGAGUAGUCACCAGGUAUGUGCUGAUUUGAACAGACGCUUCGGGCGUUUGGUCACUGGGCCUGCCUUCUCGAGGUCCUCCCUAAAGGUCCACACGGGACAGAUUGAGGGAAAGACGUCACCAAUUACUUUUGUGUGCUGUGAAUCUCUGUGAAUCUCUCUUAUGUGAAUCUUUUCAAUGUAAACCUCUAAUAUAAAACUCAACCGUAUAACAGAGUGGAGCUUCUCAGUAAAAAAAAUUAAAAAAAAACAAAAAAACAACCGAAAAACAUUUUUAAAAUCCUCGGAUCUUGUGUCAUGUGAAAUACAAACCGUCGUCCAGCAUCUUCGGAUUCUAAGCAACGAUAAAAAAAAAGUGGAGUCGAAGCCAACUUUGUAGCUUGGUGAAAUUCAUGGUUGAUGGCUGUAGGUGUGUUUAAAACUACUUCAUAAUAAGCAUCCGACAAGCUCUGCCGCUUACUUCAGCUCCCCAUCACGUGACCAGAUCCCCUGAUGACCGUGCGCGCAGUGCGCACGUGCAAUGACGGCCGUGUAGUGUCCGCGCUGUGCCUGCUGUCCUCCCAGUCUCUCUCUGACGUCAUCACGCCAAUGUGCCUGCUCCCAUGCUGGCGGCGCGUCUGCGCAGUGCUGCUCUUUCCGGGUCGCGUCCUUCUCGUCGGGCUCCUGCUGGAUCUCGUUGCUCGUCGCAUACGUCCACGAGAUGGCGCCUGUGGGCAGCGGCGAGGUCAGCACCGGCAAUGUGAGCGACGUCGUCAACAACUCGGCCUCGUCUUCUUCUGUCCCUUCGUCGUUGAGGUCUCGUCGCCCGCCUCGACGUUUACAUCCAAAACGAGGCCCCGGGGUGUGCUGCACAAGACUCGCGCGACUGACGUCAACGGGACGAGUUCUGGUUCUGAGUGAAACGUACACCUGGAACGACGACAUCAAAUCCUACAACAACAGCCUCAACGGCACCAGUAAUACUGAGACUGUCACGAGUAGAGACAUCGUCAGCAGCAGCCGAAACGUGGUUGCAAUGGCGAUGCCCGGAAAGAAGACAACCGAAGCACGGGUGUCGAACGCCACUUCACCUCCCGCACGGAGCACGUGGAGCGGGAGUUCCCGAUGGCGCUGGUGGUAGCCAGCUCUGCCGUUGCCGUCAGCAUCCUCGUCUUCUUCUGUUUGUCCUACUUGUGGCACACGCGGCAAGCUGGACCGCAGGGCCCAGAAGCUGGCCAUCCGCAUGGCCGCCGAGGCCAACUCCGAGAUGAACUGUUCCCAGUGUCGCCCGCCCUCGGCCUACGCUCGGUGCGGCACGCAUCACUUCGAUUCCGGCAGCGACAGCGGCGCGGACGAGCCUCCGUCACUGCGACAGCACGUGCUGGACGAACUGGACAGCCUGCACGAGCAGGAUGAGCUUGGCUCCGACGAUGUGUACUCCGGCCGCAAGCCGGGGGGUGUGGGGCGGACUCUGGCGGGGAGGACGAGGGGGAGGACCAGGGGAGGGUUUCGAAAGCACAGCGGUCGAUCCUCCAAGAAGUGGUCCAGUCACAGUGCGGCCAGACUCGCAGCUCGCUGAUCACGGACCAGGAAAUUCUCAAUCACUUCGCCAGCAGACGACAUUCGACCUUCUUCAUCUAAGGUUUCAUCGUGUAAAGACAAGUGAUGGUCAGACAAUAAACGUGCUUGCAUUUCCCCUGUGGUCGUGUCCAGAAGCUUCCAAUAGCAAACUCCGCCAUCGCAGUGUCAUGUCAGUGCUUUUCCCCCAUUUUGUGAAUUGCAUUGAGUAGCUUCAUCGUGAAUUUUAUCGACAGUGAAGACUAAAAGACACAACUGAAAAAUGUAAUUAAAGAAAAAAACAAAAAAUGUGAGGGCUUAAAAUCUUGAUGCAGCAUCUGACAGAUGCCGCUAUGUGCAGUGAAGGGGUCAGAGACAUAAUAUCUCACGGAACCUUCUUUGCAGAAUCCAGGGCUGUCAUUCUCGAUUUUAAAAUGUUUUAGCUCUGCAAAAGCUAGACCAUCUAAGAAAAUGACAAAAGAGUUAUAGCUUGGAGAAUUCAACAGCGUUUAGUUCUGUGUACAUGAAAUAUAUUUACAGAAAUAUUUAUAAGUCCUGUGUGUGUGCCUCCAAGCUCACCUAUGGACUCGUGACGCUAGCACGACUGUGCACCUGGACACAUCAAAGAAUGUUUUCAUAACAAGAAAAUGUUGUGUCGAUCGCUAAAGUUUGAUGAUCGUUCAGCAGUGUUUAGAAAAGGUGCGAUGACUGUCCACCUGUCUAAGGUGACGAUAAUAUUUACCACCAAAAGUUCGAAACCAGACCAAACCUCUCAUUGCCCACCUAAUGUAGUCAGAUUGUAGUGUCUGACCGGUCGUGGAAAACCGCUUGUGAAGCCCUAUAACCAGGGACCACACAUGAAGGAGAAAGAUUUCGGGGUGGAAACCGCUUCAUGGACCACCCUCAGUGUGGUGCUCGCGUGAAACUGCAGAAAAAAAAACGAGGAUACAAAGGAAAGGGGUCACUGUAACCUCUGACCCUCUUCAUCUUCUAGAAUCGUUGUGAAUAUUGUUUCUUCGCAGGCUCAUGAUGCUUACUGUUCUUUUUGUAGUUUCAUUUGAAAGCAAUCCCAGCUACACACAUUGUUGUGCGUGUGUCCAGAUGACUCGGACUGCCCCCUACAAUCGUCGUUAGUUGUUAAGCAUUUCAUUGUUCGGGUGUGUGACUGCUCAACGCUGACCUUUCCCGAACCUCCGAACCAGCUGAUGUAGUUGUUAUUAUCGAUGUCCAACAUAGGUUGGGCCUGGACUUAGUUCAGCUUUCACCACCGUGUCAGCAGUUUCUCAGUAUGUGGACAUGAAAUGCUGUACAAAAGUCUAACCGGAUAUGUAGACAUCCUCAUUUAGUGUCUUCUUACCUUCGACAAGAACUAUCUAUCACGUGUUCACACUCGCUCAUUCAGUCAUUCACUCACUCAGAGUGGACUCUAUAUUUAGCAUUUGCUAUCCUGAAAAUUUAAAUAGCAUUAUAAUACAGAGGUUCAUUCACUGUGGACUGUUGAUUUGUUGUAGACAGAAAAAAAAGUGCUUUCAUUCCCUAAUUCCUUGUACCUGUCGUUGGCUUGCACUUGUUUGUAAAGAUCACAUGGCAUUCCAGUUCAUACCAAAUAGAUAUAUAUUUGAAAUACGUCAUAUAUAUAUAUACCUCUCUUUUUUGAUGAUAUUUUUCUGUGGAGCAUGCUGUUUACUGAUUGAUUUUCACGUCCAGUUCAAAUCCCCAGUAAAUGUCCUCUUCCAAAACACACAAAGAAGUGCCACAUUGUUGUACUAUGAACAGCGGAGGAGUAUCUGAGUGCGGCGACCACAAGCAACACGUAGAAAACCCUUGCGGCCUUUAUCUAUGAAUGCGUUAGACUCUCAACAUGAUGUUUAUAUUUUUAAUAUUUUCUGCAUUUAUUAAAAUAAAGCACUCGGCAAUUUACAAACUCAAUGUCCAUUUGGAUACAGCAUUACGUGGAAAGACAAACGUGUAAAUACUUCAUUAAAAGUGUUACAAUGAUUAUUGACACUAAUAAAUCUUGAAUAAUUAUUAUUAUUAUUAUUAUUAUUAUUAUUAUUAUUUAUUAUUAUUAUUAUUAUUAUUAUUAUUAUUAUUAUUAUUAUUAUUAUUAUUAUAAUAAGAACCAACCCUUGAAAAAAGUAGUUUAUUUUCUGUGAAGGGGGAUAAGAUAUCCGGUUUGUAAGCGUUGGAUGCCGUUGGAGGGCAUGCGCCGUAUCUCAGAUCACGUGGGCGAGUAGAGCACGUGAUUGACAGCGAGACAACUGCUUUCUGUUGGGCGAUGGCGUAACAUUUGCAAUGCUUGUGGGUUUCUUUCAUUUUUGCUGGGUUCGUGAAUGAAAUAAACUUUUUUUGAAGACGUC